rnacentral:rRNA from 1 species
GAUGAACGCUGGCGGCGUGCCUAAUACGUGCAAGUCGAGCGAACAGAUGAGGAGCUUGCUCCUCUGACGUUAGCGGCGGACGGGUGAGUAACACGUGGAUAACCUACCUAUAAGACUGGGAUAACUUCGGGAAACCGGAGCUAAUACCGGAUAAUAUAUUGAACCGCAUGGUUCAAUAGUGAAAGACGGUUUUGCUGUCACUUAUAGAUGGAUCCGCGCCGCAUUAGCUAGUUGGUAAGGUAACGGCUUACCAAGGCAACGAUGCGUAGCCGACCUGAGAGGGUGAUCGGCCACACUGGAACUGAGACACGGUCCAGACUCCUACGGGAGGCAGCAGUAGGGAAUCUUCCGCAAUGGGCGAAAGCCUGACGGAGCAACGCCGCGUGAGUGAUGAAGGUCUUCGGAUCGUAAAACUCUGUUAUUAGGGAAGAACAAAUGUGUAAGUAACUAUGCACGUCUUGACGGUACCUAAUCAGAAAGCCACGGCUAACUACGUG